rnacentral:rRNA from 1 species
GCAUGGGACAAUAUCCUAUAAGUACCAGAUCCCAUCUGAUCUUGAAAAUUAAUCUGGGUUAGCUAGGUAAGCAUUUGGGUGGGAGACCACUAAUAAAUAUAAGUGUUGUAGGCU